AACUCUGAACAGUGGAUCAAUCGGCCCACGGGUCGAUGAAGAACACAGCCAGCUUUCUGACUUGGUGUGCUAUUGUGGUCUUGGGUGAUACUCAGGACCUCGCCUGUCUGAUGGUUG
rnacentral:rRNA from 1 species